CCUCUGCCUUACCACUUGGCCAUAUCGCC
rnacentral:tRNA from 1 species